rnacentral:rRNA from 1 species
UCUGAGACUGAAUACAACCUGAUCUGCAUCUGAUCUGCAAAGCUAAGCAGGGUUGAGCCUGGUUUAGUAUUUGGAUGGGACUACCUGGGAAUACAGGUGCUGUAAGCU